rnacentral:rRNA from 1 species
GACAGAGGAUGCAAGCGUUAUCCGGAAUACUGGGCGUAAAGCGUGCGCAGGCGGUUCUAUAAGACAGAUGUGAAAUCCCCGGGCUCAACCUGGGAACUGCAUUUGUGACUGUAGAGCUGGAGUACGGCAGGAGGGGGAUGGAAUUCCGCGUGUAGCAGUGAAAUGGCGUAGAUAUGCGGAGGAACACCGAUGGCGAAGGCAAUCCCCUGGGCCUGUACUGACGCUCAUGCACGAAAGCGUGGGGAGCAAACAGG